UACGUAGGGUGCGAGCGUUGUCCGGAAUUAUUGGGCGUAAAGAGCUUGUAGGUGGUUUGUCGCGUCUGCUGUGAAAAUCCGAGGCUCAACCUCGGACUUGCAGUGGGUACGGGCAGACUAGAGUGUGGUAGGGGAGACUGGAAUUCCUGGUGUAGCGGUGAAAUGCGCAGAUAUCAGGAGGAACACCGGUGGCGAAGGCGGGUCUCUGGGCCCGAUACUGACGUGAGGAGCGAAAGCGUGGGGAGCGAACAGG
rnacentral:rRNA from 1 species